rnacentral:rRNA from 1 species
UACGAACUGUGCGAACGUUAUUCGGAAUCACUGGGCUUACAGGGUGCGUAGGCGGCUUUUCAAGUCAGGUGUGAAAGCCCCCGGCUCAACCGGGGAAGUGGCACCGAUACGAGCGGCCUCGAGGGGGGUAGGGGGGGUCUGGAACUUCCGGUGGAGCGGUGAAAUGCGUUGAGAUCGGAAGGAACGCCCGUGGCGAAAGCGAGGCCCUGGACCCUUACUGACGCUGAGACGCGAAAGCCAGGGGAGCGAACGGG